ACCAUUUUAUUGCUUGUUGACUCCAUGUUUUAGUAAUGACGGUCACCUUACGAUCUCUAUAAAAUCCCAAUGCAUCAAUCAAUAUUUAUUGAAUGGUUAUUCAACAGCACAGCCAAAGGGUUUUCUCCCUGCCUGCCACCCCAGACCCAGUGCAGGAACACCUACAUCGCCUCCCCAGUAGAUGCUGCGUGGAAAAGGAGAUACUGUACCUCAGAGAGGCCGGGACAGGAAUCGGGUAGACAUGGACUGUCUCCUUAUCCUGAAGGUGCCUGGCUGAAUGAAAUCAUUACCUGGAUCCGCGUCGACAACACCGUCUCUAUCUGAUUUCUGGUUGAUCCUGCCCUGAUCCCUGCUGAGCUAGAUGUGAUGGAGGUCCGGCUUGUCAGUCUGCGCUGUGGAAAUGUUUGGCCUGGUAUGGUCCUUCUGAAGCCCCGAGAUGGUCAAGAUCAUAACACCCUCUGUGUCAGCAUUUGAUCGGAACUAUCCAUCGGAGACUGGUGGGAUUACCAUUGGAUACACGACUGAAGGCAGUGACUCUCCUCCUAAUCUGUCAGGAGCAAAUAGCUUAGCAUGCAUGCCUGGUCAUGGGUCGGCUCUUGAGCAGACCCAGUGCAGGCAUCUGUCCUUGCUUUGAGUUCACAAUUGCAAUGGCUUCAUCUUGCCCAGAAGGUAGCGUUUUGUAUCCUUUCUCCUUAUCCUUAGGUUUGUUACAUAUUUUCUGCUCCCUCCCUCUUCCUUGAUGUUCUGGACCCUUAGAUGGAAUGUUAACACCUUUUCUUUAAGGCUGAGGUCACUCAUUUGUCACUUAUUCUCAGCCACCUUCUGCACCCAGAGCUCUCCACAGCCACAGCCAUCCACUAGGAAGAAGCCUUUAAGAUAAUUAUUAAUGUUUUAAAAUGGGUUUGAGACAGGGUCCUAUGUAGCCCAGGCUAGAAUUGAAUUUUCUAUGUAGCCAAGAUGACCUUGAUCUUCCAAUGCCCUUAGUGCCGGGGUCUCUGCUUCUAAUAUCAUCCUUAGUUUACGUGGUGCUGGGGAUCAUGCAAGGUAAGUACCCUGCCAACUGAGCUACAUCUCCAAGCCAAGCCUCCUGUUUCUCAGCAUCUAGACACUCUCUCCCUUGCAUCGUUGCACAGGUGAGGGCUUGAAGGUUGGUGGCAAGGAGAUAGCAGGCAGGUUGUUUGUUGGCAUCUCCUGUCCGUGCUCCAUGGGCACCCACAACCUAUUUGGCUCUUGUUUCUUUCCCGGGGCACAGUUUUCCUACAUGAUCAUGUCCCCAAACACCCCUACAGUUUGGUUGGUUUGCAGGCUCUCCGGUGCAGGAACAGGAUCUGCAGCCUCAGUCUUAAAGCCCAACCUCUUCCCAUUCCCUUUAUCUUGUCUUCUUUUCCCUCUGUGUGGGAAGUGUUCUCUCGAGGGCGGGAGGGAAAUGCCUGCUUAGUGCUGGGUGCUCAGCUGCACAGUCUGGCUGAUGCAAGCCCCAUGCUGUCAGCACUCUCCAGCUCCGAGCCAGGUACAGAGAGAGCAGAGAACAAACAUGUGAAGGGAAUCACUGUUUCCACUGAACAUGAGUUCCUGGACCUGAGUUCCCUUCGCUGAGAUGAAGGCCUGGGAGACAGCUUGGCUUUUGUUCAAAUUUCCUCACAGAGACUGAUCACAGAGUAACAAUAUUAUACAGGAAGAGAAAAACUAAUCAGAACCACACUUUAAAAUCCCCUUUCCAUGUGUGAGAAAAUGCUUUGCCUUAAAGAUCUGCAGUAUUAAGAUUGUAACGAUGAUAAGGGUGUUCUGAGCAUCUGUCUACUCUGUGAUCACAUGACUUCAAGUGUGUCAAGCAGAUGUAGUUAGUUUCAUUGUUUAUCUUGUGCCCAGUAAUUGCUUGGGCCAGGAUUUCCCACUUGUAAUUGAUCUGUGUGUUCCACUCAUACCUAUGUCCUCUUACUCAAGUGGAAACGCCCUUUGUAGAGGAACUAGUUUGCAUCUUCUGUAUUCCCCGUCUACUUGAGGGAGGUGAAGGCACUGAAUUACCAGGAGACAGACCAGUAGUUCAACAAUGCCCCAUUCCUUGUGUUUUUAGUAUUUAUAAAAAGCCCCCAAAUCAAGCAGCUGUCUUUCAUGUUGGGGAUUUUUAAAAACUAAACAAUGUGGUAGGAAUUUGGCAUUGGGUUUUAUUUAUUAAUUUAUCUAUCUAUUUAUUUAUUUUUAAAGAUUUAUUUAUUAUUACAUCUAAGUAUAUUGUAGCUGUCUUCAGAUGCACCAGAAGAGGAUGUCAGAUUUCAUUACAGGUGGUUGUGAGCCACCAUGUGGUUGCUGGGAAUUGAACUCAGGACCUUCGGAAGAGCAGUCAGUGCUCUUAACCACUGAGCCAUCUUUCCAGCCCCGGCAUUGGGUUUUAGAGUAAAUGACAUCUCUUUCAGCCUGUGCUUAUGGAAGCCUGUGACAAUCAUGAAAGGAAUAGUAAUAGAUCAAUUUAUUUUUAUAUGAUACAUUGUUAUAUGCAAGGAUGAUAAAUCUUUUUUUGAAACAAAUGAAUUUUUUUCAUUUUUGAAAUUUAUUUAUUUAUUUAAUGUAUAUGAGUCCACAGUAGCUGUCUUCAGACACACCAGAAGAGGGCAUCAGAUCCCAU